AGGAACUCAUUCUGUUCAUCUCGUAAGUCAUCAAGGAGCUGGAAAGAAAUAUAAGAAAAGGUCUGGAAAGGGCAUUAAACGUGGACCACUAAAGAUAAAUGAGUCUUCUACCCAAAUCUACAAUAAAGAUCACAAGAAAGAUAUGUGCCAUUUCUGUCGCAAACUUGGGCAUCAUAAAAGGGAUUGCCUGAAAUGUAAGGCAUGGUUCGAAAGUAAAGGUAAGAUUAUUUCUUAUGUAUGUUUUGAAUCUAAUUUGGCAGAAGUUCCUUAUAAUACUUGGUGGAUUGAUUCCGAAUGUACCACUCAUGUUACAAAUACGAUGCAGGGAUUCUUUUCAAUCCAAACCAUAAAUCCAAACAAG
rnacentral:lncRNA from 1 species